CAAGAUGUGGCGUACUAGAAUUUUUUAUAGAACUUACUUGAUUGUAAUGAACCGUCUUGUUUCGUAUUCAAUAAGAUAUUUUCAAUACACCACAAAAUGUAAUAAAUACUGUUAUAUUUAUCAAGAUUUCUUUGCAGCAUCAUCGGCUCUGUAACAUAUAAAUAUGAAUGCUUAUGCCAAUAUGCCAGGACGUUAACACUAUAAAAUACCUAUUUUGAAUACAAAAUGUAUGGAUAGAUAAAGUGUCAUCUGACGUUCUGAUUUUGUUUUUUGAAGAUUACUAAACGCUGCGCCAAGCUGCUUAAAGCAAAACAUAGACCAACAGCAACAACAACAACAGCAACAGCAACGACAUAACAACAUGCAGCAACAACAACAACAACAACAACAACAACAACAACAACAACAACAACAACAACAACAACAACAACAACAAC